rnacentral:rRNA from 1 species
GCUGAACGCUGGCGGCGUGCCUAAUACAUCCAAGUCGAGCCAACAGACGAGGCGCUUGCUCCUUUGUCGCUAGCGGCGGCAGGGCGAGUAACACGUGGAUAACUUACCUAUAAGACUGGGAUAACUUCGGGAAACCGGAGCUAAUAGCGGAUAAGAUGUUGAACCGCAUGGUUCAACAGCGAAAGACGGUCUUGCUGUCACUUAUCGAUGGAUCAGCGCCGCAUUAACUAGUUGGUAAGGUAAAGGCUUACCUAGGCAAUGAUGAGUAGCCGACCUGAGAGGGGGAUCGGCCCCCUGAGAACUUGGACACGCCCCAGACCCCUACGGGAGGCAACAGUAGGGAAUCUUCCGCAAUGGGCGAAAGCCUGACGGAGCAACGCGCCGUAAGUGAAGAAGGUCUUCGGAUCGUAAAACUCUGUUAUUAGGGAAGACCAAAUGUGUAAGUAACUAUGCACGUCUUGACGGUACCUAAUCAGAAAGCCACGGCUAACUACGUG